rnacentral:lncRNA from 1 species
GAACCAAAAUCGUUGUGCGCACGUCGUCAAAUCACAAAAGCAAAGUCGAGAAAGCUACAGGCAAAAUCGGAAAGCGAAUCACAAGGGUUUCAACACCAAAUCUUGCUAUUAUUUUUGAUUUAGCAUUUGGCAGCAAAUAGUAGGUUUUGGUCGAGAUAACAUGUUCAUAGCACUAGCAGCCUAUUGUUCACACAGAUAAUCAUGUGUGAUAAUGGAGAAAGGACUUGUUUACUUUGAGCUGAUGGAUUGCAUAUACCAACAGCUCAGGCGUUGCCAUUGUGUAUGUUAGAAACUCCGCCACUUGUUCUUCCAGACCUUGAAUGACAUCAAACAACGUAUUUAUAUACGAACAGAAGACGAUGGUUAACAAGUUAGUUAAGAAACCGACGAAAGCAUAACUUACGUUCGUCGUCAGGAACAUUGUUAUAACCAAGACCAUCAAGAAGAGGUGUAGCGGUGUUGUCGGAAAGAUUGAAGUAACCCAGAUCAUCAAGAAGGGGUAUUGAAGCAUAAAUAAGAAAACAGAACAGGCUACUUGUCCUCAAAACGAGCCGAGGGAGGUUAAGGCUAUCAGCGACUGAUUGCGUGAAGUGCCAAGAGGCAUCAGUGAUUAAACACGACACAGGUGGUUCAUCUUUCGCCGACAGUUCCAGUUCCAGUUGGUGGCGUAAUUGAUCCGCCCCGCAUUUAUUGAAUAAGAAAAUUCGAGAAAACGCCCCCAUGCCUUGCAGCGGUAAAUUGGCGUAGCGUUCAUCGUGUGGAUCGUUGUCGAGGAUGAAUCUGAAAGUGAAGUGAGGGUAGUUGGAGGUUUUGGGCUUGUUGAAGUUGGUGUGAAAGAUGGUGAUACUGAAGCCUUUAGAGUAGAGAAGAUUAGCAAGCUGAAACAUCGGGUUUACGUGGCCUUGAUAUGGUAACGGAAACAUAAUUACUCUCCGGUGACGGCCAACGGUAGUCUCCAUUUUUUUUAUGUUUGACAUAUCAAUCAGGUUGUAUUCUUAUAGCAAAAUGAAGGCCUGCAGGUUUAAAAUUGAAGGACAAUUAUUUAAUCAUCAAGUAAGUAGCGCUUUCUUUUAUUCUUUUCGUUAGAUUUUGAUGCCUUGUUCAUAUCGAGCUCAGUAGAUGGAGACAACAUACUUAUAAUUUUCUAAAUGUUUGAAAUUAAAGUAAUUAGUUUUGGUUUUCAAAGUUGUUUAUU